rnacentral:rRNA from 1 species
GACGAACGCUGGCGGCGUGCUUAACACAUGCAAGUCGAACGGUGAACCUCUUCGGAGGGGAUCAGUGGCGAACGGGUGAGUAACACGUGGGCAACCUGCCCCCGGCUCUGGGAUAACUCCAAGAAAUUGGGGCUAAUACCGGAUGUUCACCGCUUCCCGCAUGGGUGGUGGUGGAAAGGGUUUCCGGCUGGGGAUGGGCCCGCGGCCUAUCAGCUUGUUGGUGGGGUAGUGGCCUACCAAGGCGACGACGGGUAGCCGGCCUGAGAGGGUGACCGGCCACCGGGGGAGUGGGAAGCGCCCAAGCCCCCUAGGGGGGGAAGGAGGGGGAAUUUGUGCGAAAGGGGGGGAAGCCUGCCGCAGGGCCCCCGGGGGGGGAGGACGGCCUUCGGGUUGAAAACAUUUUUCAGCAGGGACGAAGCGAAAGGGAGGGAACCGGAAGAAGAAGCCCCGGCCAAAUACGG